AUGAUCUGUUUCAUCUACAAUAGAAAUAUGCUUGGUAAAGGCCUCAUAUCACUUGGCAUCAAAGCGCUCAGGCUGCUUGAAAAGCAACAUGAUUCAUCCUCAAGACACAUUAUAAGCUUCAUCAUCUCACUGGUCUCUAGAUCAAGGCCUCCUGAAGCUCUCGUGCAUAGCGGAUGGCUAAAGCGUGCUGAUACUGUCAAGAGAGGUUGGGGUAGACCGAACUUGACAUGGGAGGAGUGCGUAAAGAGUGAUAUGAAGAACUGGUUUUCCCAAUUUUCCUUCCACCAUUUUGUAACCCUUUGCAGAACCGUCUGGGGAGGUUUCUUAACAUUGUCUACUCAUCUAUUGGGAAAUAGGUAUCUGUUAUCUAUCAUGUGGUUAUGGAACUGA
rnacentral:rRNA from 1 species